rnacentral:rRNA from 1 species
UUAAGCGACUAAGCGUACACGGUGGAUGCCUAGGCAGUCAGAGGCGAUGAAGGGCGUGCUAAUCUGCGAAAAGCGUCGGUAAGCUGAUAUGAAGCGUAAUAACCGACGAUACCCGAAUGGGGAAACCCAGUGCAAUUCGUUGCACUAUUGCAUGGUGAAUACAUAGCCAUGCAAGGCGAACCGGGGGAACUGAAACAUCUAAGUACCCCGAGGAAAAGAAAUCAACCGAGAUUCCCCCAGUAGCGGCGAGCGAACGGGGAAGAGCCCAGAGUCUGAAUCAGUUGGUGUGUUAGUGGAAGCGUCUGGAAAGUCGCACGGUACAGGGUGAUAGUCCCGUACACAAAAACACACUGGCUGUGAACUCGAUGAGUAGGGCGGGACACGUGACAUCCUGUCUGAAUAUGGGGGGACCAUCCUCCAAGGCUAAAUACUCCUGACUGACCGAUAGUGAACCAGUACCGUGAGGGAAAGGCGAAAAGAACCCCGGCGAGGGGAGUGAAAUAGAACCUGAAACCGUGUACGUACAAGCAGUGGGAGCACCUUCGUGGUGUGACUGCGUACCUUUUGUAUAAUGGGUCAGCGACUUAUAUUUUGUAGCAAGGUUAACCGAAUAGGGGAGCCGUAGGGAAACCGAGUCUUAACUGGGCGUCUAGUUGCAAGGUAUAGACCCGAAACCCGGUGAUCUAGCCAUGGGCAGGUUGAAGGUUGGGUAACACUAACUGGAGGACCGAACCGACUAAUGUUGAAAAAUUAGCGGAUGACUUGUGGCUGGGGGUGAAAGGCCAAUCAAACCGGGAGAUAGCUGGUUCUCCCCGAAAGCUAUUUAGGUAGCGCCUCGUGAACUCAUCUUCGGGGGUAGAGCACUGUUUCGGCUAGGGGUCCAUCCCGGAUUACCAAACCGAUGCAAACUCCGAAUACCGAAGAAUGUUAUCACGGGAGACACACGGCGGGUGCUAACGUCCGUCGUGAAGAGGGAAACAACCCAGACCGCCAGCUAAGGUCCCAAAGUCAUGGUUAAGUGGGAAACGAUGUGGGAAGGCAUAGACAGCCAGGAUGUUGGCUUAGAAGCAGCCAUCAUUUAAAGAAAGCGUAAUAGCUCACUGGUCGAGUCGGCCUGCGCGGAAGAUGUAACGGGGCUAAACCAUGCACCGAAGCUGCGGCAGCGACGCUUAGGCGUUGUUGGGUAGGGGAGCGUUCUGUAAGCCGUUGAAGGUGGCCUGUGAGGGCUGCUGGAGGUAUCAGAAGUGCGAAUGCUGACAUAAGUAACGAUAAUGCGGGUGAAAAACCCGCACGCCGGAAGACCAAGGGUUCCUGUCCAACGUUAAUCGGGGCAGGGUGAGUCGACCCCUAAGGCGAGGCUGAAAAGCGUAGUCGAUGGGAAACAGGUUAAUAUUCCUGUACUGGGUGUGACUGCGAAGGGGGGACGGAGAAGGCUAGGCUAGCCGGGCGACGGUUGUCCCGGUUUAAGCAUGUAGGCGGAGCGACUUGGUAAAUCCGGUUGCUUAUCAACGCUGAGGUGUGAUGACGAGCCACUACGGUGGUGAAGUAGUUGAUGCCAAGCUUCCAGGAAAAGCCUCUAAGCAUCAGGUGACAUUCAAUCGUACCCCAAACCGACACAGGUGGUCAGGUAGAGAAUACUCAGGCGCUUGAGAGAACUCGGGUGAAGGAACUAGGCAAAAUGGUGCCGUAACUUCGGGAGAAGGCACGCUGGCAUUAGGUAAAGAGACUUGCUCUCGGCGCCGAAGCCAGUCGCAGAUACCAGCUGGCUGCAACUGUUUAAUAAAAACACAGCACUGUGCAAACACGAAAGUGGACGUAUACGGUGUGACGCCUGCCCGGUGCUGGAAGGUUAAUUGAUGGGGUCAGCCGCAAGGCGAAGCUCUUGAUCGAAGCCCCAGUAAACGGCGGCCGUAACUAUAACGGUCCUAAGGUAGCGAAAUUCCUUGUCGGGUAAGUUCCGACCUGCACGAAUGGCGUAAUGAUGGCCAGGCUGUCUCCACCCGAGACUCAGUGAAAUUGAACUCGCUGUGAAGAUGCAGUGUACCCGCGGCAAGACGGAAAGACCCCGUGAACCUUUACUAUAGCUUGACACUGAAUAUUGAGCCUUGAUGUGUAGGAUAGGUGGGAGGCAUCGAAGCGUGGACGCCAGUCUGCGUGGAGCCAACCUUGAAAUACCACCCUUUAAUGUUUGAUGUUCUAACUCGGCCCCAUAAUCUGGGGUGAGGACAGUGUCUGGUGGGUAGUUUGACUGGGGCGGUCUCCUCCCAAAGAGUAACGGAGGAGCACGAAGGUUAGCUAAUCACGGUCGGACAUCGUGAGGUUAGUGCAAAGGCAUAAGCUAGCUUGACUGCGAGAGUGACGGCUCGAGCAGGUACGAAAGUAGGUCUUAGUGAUCCGGUGGUUCUGAAUGGAAGGGCCAUCGCUCAACGGAUAAAAGGUACUCCGGGGAUAACAGGCUGAUACCGCCCAAGAGUUCAUAUCGACGGCGGUGUUUGGCACCUCGAUGUCGGCUCAUCACAUCCUGGGGCUGAAGUAGGUCCCAAGGGUAUGGCUGUUCGCCAUUUAAAGUGGUACGCGAGCUGGGUUUAGAACGUCGUGAGACAGUUCGGUCCCUAUCUGCCGUGGGCGUUGGAAGAUUGAGAGGGGCUGCUCCUAGUACGAGAGGACCGGAGUGGACGCAUCACUGGUGUUCGGGUUGUCAUGCCAAUGGCAUUGCCCGGUAGCUAAAUGCGGAAAAGAUAAGCGCUGAAAGCAUCUAAGCGCGAAACUUGCCUCGAGAUGAGUCUUCCCUGGGGCUUUAAGCCCCCUGAAGGAACGUUAAAGACUAUGACGUUGAUAGGCUGGGUGUGUAAGUGCAGCGAUGCAUUGAGCUAACCAGUACUAAUGAUCCGUGAGGCUUAACCU